rnacentral:rRNA from 1 species
UACGUAUAAGACUAGUGUUAUUCAUCUUUAAUAGGUUUAAAGGGUACCUAGACGGUAUAAUUAGUCUUAAACAGGAUACGAUUAUACUAGAGUUAUAUAUGAGGAGGGGAGUAUUUAUGGAGUAGAGUUGAAAUUCUUUGAUACCAUAACGACUGGUAACGGCGAAAGCAACCUUUUAUCUAAUAACUGACGUUGAGGGACGAAGGCUCGGGUAACGAACAGG